rnacentral:rRNA from 1 species
CAUUUCUUAUUGAUCUAAUAAUAAGUACCGCCUGCUCAAUGAAUCGAUUAAAUAGCCGCGGAAAUUUUACCGUGCUAAGGUAGCAUAAUCAUUAGCCUCUUAAUUAGAGGCUGGUAUGAAUGACGAAACAUUUCAACUACUUUAUUAACUUAUUUAUUUUAAAUUAAAUUAAGAAUAAAAAUGUUCUUAUUUUAUAAAUAGACGAUAAGACCCUUUUGAACUUUACUCUAGUUUAGCUGGGGCAGCUAAAAAAUAAUGACCUUUUUCUUAAAAGAAUUAAAUAAAAGAUCCAAUUCUAUUGAUUAUCUGAUCAAGUUACCAUAGGGAUAACAGCGUAAUCUCUUUCUAAAGCUCUUAUUUAAAAAGAAAUUUGCGACCUCGAUGUUGAAUUAAUGUCACUUUAAAAAAGAAGAAAUUUAUAAAGUAAGUCUGUUCGACUUUUAAAACAUUAC